rnacentral:rRNA from 1 species
AUGUUUUUAAUAAACAGACAGAGUGUGUACUCGCUCUGUGACGGAAAGACGAGCCCGAUGUCAGUGGCUCAGCAUGGCAGAGCUGGCCACGUCUAUCUAGGUCAUCACCAUCACACACGGAGGAGGGAGGCCACCAUGGCAUGCAUGAUGAGCUGCCAUCUUUGUACGGUACCAUUGCUGGUGCUACUACUCCCCGCUGUCCCACACAUCCACACGCCUACGGUGGGUGGGACUCUUCUCUUCUCUUUUCUUUGCCUCCCUCCGUCUUCUCUCUCUCCGGUCCAAGCAGUUUCACUCGCUCGGUGUGCGAGCGAGGGAGAGGAGAGAGAGAUUAUAAUAGCACGAUAG